rfam:Prevotellaceae bacterium KH2P17 genome assembly, contig: Ga0066882_101
GUGAUAUGGGCAAGUCUCAUACGGCCAGCUCCCUCGGAAUCCCCCAGGAUGGGAACAUAGCAAGGGUACUUGGUUGUAGCGGCGCGAUAUGAAUAGCUUGCCCACCC